AACAGGAUUAGAUACCCUGGGUAGUCCACGCCGUAAACGAUGUCGACUUGGAGGCUGUUCCCCUGAGGAGUGGCUUCCGGAGCUAACGCGUUAAGUCGACCGCCUGGGGAGUACGGCCGCAAGGUUAAAACUCAAAUGAAUUGACGGGGGCCCGCACAAGCGGUGGAGCAUGUGGUUUAAUUCGAUGCAACGCGAAGAACCUUACCUACUCUUGACAUCCAGAGAACUUUCCAGAGAUGGAUUGGUGCCUUCGGGAACUCUGAGACAGGUGCUGCAUGGCUGUCGUCAGCUCGUGUUGUGAAAUGUUGGGUUAAGUCCCGCAACGAGCGCAACCCUUAUCCUUUGUUGCCAGCGAUUCGGUCGGGAACUCAAAGGAGACUGCCGGUGAUAAACCGGAGGAAGGUGGGGAUGACGUCAAGUCAUCAUGGCCCUUACGAGUAGGGCUACACACGUGCUACAAUGGCGCAUACAAAGAGAAGCGACCUCGCGAGAGCAAGCGGACCUCAUAAAGUGCGUCGUAGUCCGGAUCGGAGUCUGCAACUCGACUCCGUGAAGUCGGAAUCGCUAGUAAUCGUGGAUCAGAAUGCCACGGUGAAUACGUUCCCGGGCCUUGUACACACCGCCCGUCACACCAUGGGAGUGGGUUGCAAAAGAAGUAGGUAGCUUAACCUUCGGGAGGGCGCUUACCACUUUGUGAUUCAUGACUGGGGUGAAGUCGUAACAAGGUACC
rnacentral:rRNA from 1 species